UUCUCCACCCCCAUUUCAGCACUGUUAUAUCCACGCUCUUCAACCCUAACUAGCUGAAACAACUCUAAUCACCUAUUUUUACUGUUUGAGUUAGGCAGUGUUCACAGGACUCAUUUUGCCAGAAGAACUGAAAUGCUUGCAGAAGGGAAAAAGGGAAAGGGAUACAAACUCAGAGCUGCAAAAUAGCAGCUGAACAUGAUAAUAUCAUCAGCUGGAAGAGGUGGCUGCACACUGAGCAUCUGUCUAUAGCCUAAAAUGACUGUUUUGUUUGGGGAUUUGUUUGUUUGUUGGUUGGAGUUUUGGUUUGUUAUGCUGCAGGAUCACUCCUAACUGCUAAUACAAUUAAGAAAGAAACUUCAGAAAAAGAUCACCAAGUCCUGUGGUUUUUAAUUCCCCAUUGGGCUUUAGGAAGAAGUAGUUUGUGGCAAACAAGGAAGACAAACCUGAAUCCUUUGCUGCAUCCUUCCUCCUGUUUAAGAAGAUUUGUGAUUCUACAUCUAAAUCCAAAAACUUUCCACGUGGCCCUGAGGGACCAGCCAGACAAUCCCUGUCAGAUGAUUUAGGGGGCUGUAGUUUGGUUUUGAAUCCUGCUCUCUUGGCACCAGCAGCAUUUUCACAUGGGCUGAAGCUCUCAUGGCCUCUCAUCCAACUUGGUCGAGCAGACUAAAAGGAAAAGAAAUGCAGCUGAAUUCUGAGGGAUCAGGUUCUAUCCACCUCUAACAUAUUAUGCAACUUUUCAUCCUUUGAGUAGUCUUAUUGAUUUCAGUGGAAGAAUUUGUUAUUGCAGAAUGUGAAUGUCAGAAUUUCACCCUAAAUAUUUCACUUUACAAAGGAAGCCAUGAUGCAGAAGAAAACACACUCUGAGCUGCAGCAGGACACAAAAUUUGCAGUUACAAUAAAAGUUGGGAAGCCUUUUUCUCCUUUGUGACGGUGGCCUUCUAUUGAAAGUGCUUAAUAAACAGAACCAGUUCUGUGCGAAUUAAAUGAAAGAUGUUCAUAAACAAACUGAGAGUCUUCUAAUCCCUACAGCACCACAAAUAAUUCAAAUAAAUUUUGAAGUGCCACGAUAAUGGCACAAGAUGGUUAUCUCUGUAUUAUUGGUUUUGUGUACAUCAAAGAAGGCUCUGUAGGAAAAAAUAAUGUUGCAUAAAAAAACACAACCACGUUUCUUUUAAAAAAGCAGACAAUUAAAAUUAUCCAGAAGUUAAGGAAAAUAUGAACUAAAAAUAUUUUGCCUUUGAAAGUCUGUAUUACCCUUAAAACAAUUUUAUGGUGGAUAUUGUGGGCUCUGGAUUAACAUAAAUGUCUGAUUGAAAAUCUUUGUAAGGAUGUUAAGAUUAAGUACACAGCUCUUAAGUUCUACAAACACAAAACUGAUUUCAAAGGAACCAAGUGAUGAGUAUGGAUGUCCAUGAAACAAAUAUAAUGUAUUCAUAAAGGCCUUUUUCACCAGUCAAGACAUAAAGUGACAACAACUGGACAUGUCAUCUGCUUUUAAAAUUGCUUAAAUUAAAGAUUAUGGGCAACACUGAAAAAGAAAAGAAAGAAAUAUGAGCCAGCUGUACCUGUGGUGUGAUAACAUUGCCUUCAGUAUGGACAAGGCACUGGUUGAAGAACUUCUGUGUUGUAAUUUUGGAUGUACAUGAAGUAAAGAGAAUGUGGUGCUGAAUCAAUGACCAAAAGCUGUACAGGGCAAAUUCCACCUAGUACAAUGUCAGCAAAGCCUGGGGACUUGUGAGGAGGGAAGGGAAAGAGAACCCCUUAAUCUACAUGACAUUAUAAAACAAAUCACAAAGCUUGGCAUGCCCUAAACCAGUAGAAGCACGACACACCAGGCAGGAGAGCUGCCCCAGAUGCUCAUUUCUGUCCCAGAAUAUUCAACACCUUUCACAGAUGUAGAAAUUCAAGUUCCUGGUGAGUCAGGGCCUCUUGAUGCUUUGCACAGUCCCAGGAGCACUCCAUGUAGAGGUGCUGUGGGACUGCCUUUCAUUUAUCCAACAACCAAACCACUGCACAAUGGAGUGGGCCAAAGCCUGAGUGUUUUGUGCCUGCUUUGUUGUCAGGCACAGAGCUGUGUGUUUGCCUUUGUCCCUUUUGCACGUGGGGUCACACCCCCAUGUCCACAGUGCAGCAGAAACCUCAGCAACAAUGUGUGACAGCCUUUACUCCACCAGAGAGACACUGAGCUAUGGCAUCCACUUAUUUCCUGUCAUACCUCUAAAUCAAGGCUAAACGAGGUGAAAAGCAAAGAGAUUUUCAGCCCUUGUAAACUCACAGGGCAAGCUGAAUGGAUAAACUAAGAUGUUUCACCAUCAUAUAUUACCCUGGUGUGUUAGAGUUGGCUAUGUAAUAGGUUCAUGGCCAUCUCAAAAUGAGUGGAAAGGUGAAUGCUUCCAUUGUGAUUACUUGGCUAAAAAAAUACAUGUCAGUAAUCCCUCUUCUGCCCUUCACCAUUUAAUUGUGGUGGUUUAAGGUUAACAAUGGGAAAAUGCUAUAUACUUUUCAGGGAAAACUGAUUGAGCUUUUUUUACAGAUAAAUUACUUAAAAACAGAUGGAAAAUAGUAUUCUAUUGAAAAUGACUCCUUAAGGUCCUGUUGGUUCAGGUUAAAGGAUGUAUGGGCACACUUGCACAAUGAAUUGCAGCUCUGCAAGGCUGUGGCUGGAGGAGAAUCUCAGCUUCUCUGCAUGAAGCUAAAGGGAAAAACUGUGUGGGAAAUUUCAGUUCAGUGCUUGGCUGGGAUGAAAAGUUUCAAGAAAAUAACAAGAGUGUAUCUGCUAAUGUGCCUAAAGGCAUCAUCAAGCUGAGACAGCAGCUCAGAUUAGGGUCAUCUGGCAUGCUCACUUCUGUAGGAUCCUAAAUCUAUAAGCAUCUGUCCUCAGGUGCCUUUAAGGAGCUGGUCCCUAUCUUCCCUAGCAAAUGGCUGUGAAAGGAAAGAGGAGGAGGAGGAAGGAUGCAGGAACUGAUUCCCUUGACAAUGAGAAUUACUGAGCUGCCGCUUCUGCCUUCUCUGGGUUCAGGAUGUUUCUCCCAUCUUUUUAAUCAGUGAGGACCAUUUCAGUGGGAAAGCAUAAUCAUAGGGCAAAAAUAAUCUCAUAGUCACAAAGUUAUUCUUUAAAUGUGGGCUGAACUGCUUAUGAGGUUAAGGUGAAGUUGUAUUUUUAUGUCCAGUGUGGCAUUCACAUUCUCUGAACGUGAUUCCUUUGCCCAAGGUUUUUCUCCUGGGAAGCUGAAAGGCAGCAAGAGG